rnacentral:rRNA from 1 species
UAAGGAAUAUUGGACAAUGGGCGCAAGCCUGAUCCAGCCAUCCCGCGUGUAGGAAGAAGGCCCUAUGGGUCGUAAACUACUUUUGUCAGGGAAUAAACCUCUCGAUUCACUCGGGAGCUGAAGGUACCUGAAGAAUAAGCACCGGCUAACUCCGUGCCAGCAGCCGCGGUAAUACGGAGGGUGCAAGCGUUAUCCGGAAUCACUGGGUUUAAAGGGUGCGUAGGUGGUAUCGUAAGUCAGAAGUGAAAGUUUGCGGCUUAACCGUAAAAUUGCUUUUGAUACUGCAAUACUUGAAUCAGGUUGAGGUUGGCGGAAUGUGGCAUGUAGCGGUGAAAUGCUUAGAUAUGCCAUAGAACACCGAUUGCGAAGGCAGCUGACUGGACCUGUAUUGACGCUGAGGCACGAAAGCGUGGGGAGCGAACAGG